rnacentral:rRNA from 1 species
UACGGGGGGGGCAAGCGUUGUUCGGAAUUACGGGGCGUAAAGGGCUCGUAGGCGGCCAACUAAGUCAAACGUGAAAUCCCUCGGCUUAACCGGGGAACUGCGCUUGAUACUGGAUGGCUUGAGAUUGGGAGAGGGAUGCGGAAUUCCAGGUGUAGCGGUGAAAUGCGUAGAUAUCUGGAGGAACACCGGUGGCGAAGGCGGCAUCCUGGACCAACACUGACGCUGAGGAGCGAAAGCCAGGGGAGCAAACGGG